rnacentral:misc_RNA from 1 species
GAUGAAGAACGUAGCGAAAUGCGAUAAGUAAUGUGAAUUGCAGAAAUCAGUGAAUCAUCGAAUCUUUGAACGCACAUUGCGCCCGCCAGUAUUCUGGCGGGCAUGCCUGUUCGAGCGUCAUUUCAACCAUCAAGCCCCCGGGCUUGUGUUGGGGACCUGCGGCUGCCGCAGGCCCUGAAAAGCAGUGGCGGGCUCGCUGUCACACCGAGCGUAGUAGCAUACAUCUCGCUCUGGGCGUGCUGCGGGUUCCGGCCGUUAAACUACCCUUUUAACCCAAGGUUGACCUCGGAUCAGGUAGGAAGACCCGCUGAACUUAAGCAUAUCAAUAAGCGGAGGA